UACGAAGGGGGCUAGCGUUGCUCGGAAUCACUGGGCGUAAAGCGCACGUAGGCGGCUUCUUAAGUCAGGGGUGAAAUCCUGGGGCUCAACUCCAGAACUGCCUUUGAUACUGAGAAGCUUGAGUCCGGGAGAGGUGAGUGGAACUGCGAGUGUAGAGGUGAAAUUCGUAGAUAUUCGCAAGAACACCAGUGGCGAAGGCGGCUCACUGGCCCGGUACUGACGCUGAGGUGCGAAAGCGUGGGGAGCAAACAGG
rnacentral:rRNA from 1 species